AAAGAGAUAAGUUAGAAUGCUUUGCAUAUCUAUUUGUGUAGAGUUAAUCACCAAGACAAUUUCCAGAAGUUGUAUCCAGGUGUCAAUUGUGUCCUUGUUCUGGUGUUGUUAUUUUCAAACAGAGAUGGCUCUUGCUCACUGGCAGUGACUUGGGUCAUGUGAGACAGCAUCAGAGCUCGGGUGACAUCUCUCGCUCGGGUGAAAUCUCUCCUGGAAGAUUUCAAGGUGUGUGCAGAGUUCUGAAGAAUAAAAGUCAACAGUCAAGUUCUUCUCCAUAUUCUCCAAAUCUGACGGAGGCGUUCCAUCAGGAAAGGGGGAAUGGUUGGUCGAUGCCUCCAGAAUAAUGAUACCCAUGACCCAGGCACAACAUGCUGACAGGCAAUCGGCUAUGGCAGAAAGCAUCCAUGCCAUCUA